GUCUGGUCCGUCAGAUCUCAUCUCUGCUGUCUGGUCUGGUCCGUCAGAUCUCAUCUCUGCUGUCUGGUCUGGUCCGUCAGAUCUCAUCUCUGCUGUCUGGUCUGGUCCGUCAGAUCUCAUCUCUGCAGUCUGGUCUGGCCUGUCAGAUCUCAUCUCUGUAGUCUGGUCUGGUCCGUCAGAUCUCAUCUCUGCUGUCUGGUCUGGUCCGUCAGAUCUCAUCUCUGCUGUCUGGUCUGGUCCGUCAGAUCUCAUCUCUGCUGUCUGGUCUGGUCCGUCAGAUCUCAUCUCUGCAGUCUGGUCUGGCCUGUCAGAUCUCAUCUCUGCUGUCUGGUCUGGUCCGUCAGAUCUCAUCUCUGUAGUCUGGUCUGGUCUGUCAGCUCUCAUCCCUGCCGUCUGGUCUAGCCUGGCCCGUCAGCUCUCAUCGUCCCCACUGUGUGCCUGGAAGGUGAGAGAGCGGAUGUGCAAUGCAUUGCACCACUGACACCACUGUAGGCUUGCCUGGCUGCCUGCUUGCCUGGCUGCCUGGCUGCCUGCUUGCCUGGCUGCCUGGCUGCCAGCUUGCCUGCCUACUUGCUGCCUUACUGCCUGUCUGUUUGUGGGUCUAUCCACUAAACUACUCAGUCAUGAAGGGGUCAACUUUGACACAAAAUAUCCCCUCUGGUUAUGUUUCCCAGGACCUUCUAACACCACUGUAUUUUUUUAAGGUCAAUGACUUCAGUUGUAGCACUGACAUUUACCUGCAACUAUUCCUUACUUAACAUCAGUCAAUACUGACAUGGUGCCCUGGUUAUGACAAACUGCUCUAGUCCCUUAUCCCAGCAGUAUGGUCAUCUCUGUAGAUCUCAAGUUGCUGUGAAAUCUGACUUCCUUCAGUGUCCAAGUUGUGUGACAGACCACACAAGCUCUCUCCUCUCUGCACAAUCCGUCAUCUCAAACACAGAAAAACAUUGAAGAAACUCUGGAAAAUAAUCAAACCCUCUCCAAAACAGGAUUGGAGAAAUAUGCCAGACUUCCUCUAUAAAAACAGUAAAUCAAGCUAGGGAUUUAUUCAUAAAUUGUUCUCUGGUCGAGAGCACUAGCAAGCCCAGGGAGCCAUAUUUAUUCACUUAAUGGAAGGCGUGAGUAACUGUUUUAUUUCGGAUGUGUGUAAUAAUGUGGUGACAUUUAGCUUGGAUGCAGUGGAGUAGAAUGGUGAGGAGGACAUUGUAGAAAUAUUGUUCUGUGGGUGAAUGAAGAGGGAGUGUGUUUUCAGUAUUUGGAUGUGCUUGUUAGCAGGGAGAGUUUUUAUUACAAAAACGGCCUUAAGGACAUGUUUUACACCCCACUUCCCAGUUAUAGAGAUCUCCCCCUGCCCUGGUCCCUCUCUACUCCCCUGAGAGGGAGAUCUUCCCCCUGCCCUGGUCAGUCUCUAGUCCCCUGAGAGGGAGAUCUUCCCCCUGCCCUCGUCAGUCUCUACUCCCCUGAGAGGGAGAUCUUCCCCCUGCCCUGGUCCGUCGGUACUCCCCUGAGAGGGAGAUCUUCCCCCUGCCCUGGUCUGUCUCUACUCCCCUGACAGGGAGAUCUUCCCCCCUGCCCUGGUCCGUCUCUACUCCCCUGAGAGGGAGAUCUUCCCCCCUGCCCUGGUCCGUCUCUACUCCCCUGAGAGGGAGAUCUUCCCCCUGCCCUGGUCAGUCUCUACUCCCCUGAGAGGGAGAUCUUCCCCCUGCCCUGGUCAGUCUCUAGUCCCCUGAGAGGGAGAUCUUCCCCCUGCCCUGGUCAGUCUCUACUCCCCUGAGAGGGAGAUCUUCCCCCUGCCCUGGUCAGUCUCUACUCCCCUGAGAGGGAGAUCUUCCCCCUGCCCUGGUCAGUCUCUACUCCACUGAGAGGGAGAUCUUCCCCCUGCCCUGGUCCCUCUCUACUCCCCUGAGAGGGAGAUCUUCCCCCUGCCCUGGUCAGUCUCUAGUCCCCUGAGAGGGAGAUCUUCCCCCUGCCCUCGUCAGUCUCUACUCCCCUGAGAGGGAGAUCUUCCCCCCUGCCCUGGUCCGUCGGUACUCCCCUGAGAGGGAGAUCUUCCCCCUGCCCUGGUCUGUCUCUACUCCCCUGACAGGGAGAUCUUCCCCCCUGCCCUGGUCCGUCUCUACUCCCCUGAGAGGGAGAUCUUCCCCCCUGCCCUGGUCCGUCUCUACUCCCCUGAGAGGGAGAUCUUCCCCCUGCCCUGGUCAGUCUCUACUCCCCUGAGAGGGAGAUCUUCCCCCUGCCCUGGUCAGUCUCUAGUCCCCUGAGAGGGAGAUCUUCCCCCUGCCCUGGUCAGUCUCUACUCCCCUGAGAGGGAGAUCUUCCCCCUGCCCUGGUCAGUCUCUACUCCCCUGAGAGGGAGAUCUUCCCCCUGCCCUGGUCAGUCUCUACUCCACUGAGAGGGAGAUCUUCCCCCUGCCCUGGUCAGUCUCUACUCCCCUGAGAGGGAAAUCUUCCCCCUGCCCUGGUCAGUCUCUAGUCCCCUGAGAGGGAGAUCUUCCCCCUGCCCUGGUCCCUCUCUACUCCCCUGAGAGGGAGAUCUUCCCCCUGCCCUGGUCCGUCUCUACUCCCCUGAGAGGGAAAUCUUCCCCCUGCCCUGGUCAGUCUCUAGUCCCCUGAGAGGGAGAUCUUCCCCCUGCCCUGGUCAGUCUCUAGUCCACUGAGAGGGAGAUCUUCCCCCUGCCCUGGUCCGUCUCUAGUCCCCUGAGAGGGAGCUCUUCCACCCUGCCCUGGUCAGUCUCUACUCCCCUGAGAGGGAGAUCUUCCCCCUGCCCUGGUCAGUCUCUAGUCCCCUGAGAGGGCGAUCUUACCCCUGCCCUGGUCAGUCUCUAGUCCCCUGAGAGGGAGCUCUUCCACCCUGCCCUGGUCAGUCUCUAGUCCCCUGAGAGGGAGAUCUUCCCCCUGCCCUGGUCAGUCUCUACUCCCCUGAGAGGGAGAUCUUCCCCCUGCCCUGGUCAGUCUCUAGUCCACUGAGAGGGAGAUCUUCCCCCUGCCCUGGUCCAUCUCUACUCCCCUGAGAGGGAAAUCUUCCCCCUGCCCUGGUCAGUCUCUACUCCCCUGAGAGGGAGAUCUUCCCCCUGCCCUGGUCCAUCUCUACUCCCCUGAGAGGGAGAUCUUCCCCCUGGCCUGGUCAGUCUCUAGUCCCCUGAGAGGGAGAUCUUCCCCCUGCCCUGGUCAGUCUCUAGUCCCCUGAGAGGGAGAUCUUCCCCCCUGCCCUGGUCAGUCUCUAGUCCCCUGAGAGGGAGAUCUUCCCCCUGCCCUGGUCCGUCUCUACUCCCCUGAGAGGGAGAUCUUCCCCCCUGCCCUGGUCCGUCUCUACUCCCCUGAGAGGGAGAUCUUCCCCCUGCCCUGGUCAGUCUCUAGUCCCCUGAGAGGGAGCUCUUCCACCCUGCCCUGGUCAGUCUCUACUCCCCUGAGAGGGAGAUCUUCCCCCUGCCCUGGUCAGUCUCUAGUCCCCUGAGAGGGAGAUCUUCCCCCUGCCCUGGUCAGUCUCUACUCCCCUGAGAGGGAGAUCUUCCCCCUGCCCUGGUCAGUCUCUAGUCCACUGAGAGGGAGAUCUUCCCCCUGCCCUGGUCAGUCUCUAGUCCACUGAGAGGGAGAUCUUCCCCCUGCCCUGGUCCAUCUCUACUCCCCUGAGAGGGAAAUCUUCCCCCUGCCCUGGUCAGUCUCUAGUCCCCUGAGAGGGAAAUCUUCCCCCUGCCCUGGUCAAUCUUCCCCCUGCCCUGGUCAGUCUCUAGUCCACUGAGAGGGAGAUCUUCCCCCUGCCCUGGUCCGUCUCUACUCCCCUGAGAUGGAAUACUGGUGUCCCCUUGUGUCAAAAUAUUAUCACAACACCCAAUGCCCCAUUGGCAGGAAUGGAUACAAGAUUCUUACCUGAAGGUUAUAACAUUGAGUGGGAGACGGUGCUGGCUAGAAUUUGAGCAUUUUGCUGAGUGGCUAGAGUGGAUAGUUCAGUAUCUAGACUGGUGAAUGCAUUGAAGUGUGUGUAUUUAAAUCAGUGACAACGUAAAAGUGUUUUGUUACGGAUUCAAUAUGUGAUUGUGUGUGAAUAUGUAAGUAGACAGCUUGAUUGUGGCCUAUGUUACAGCAUACAAGACGACAAGACUAUCUGAUAGUGAUGCGGGUCUGUGUUUGAAUAACCACGCUGAUUAUUAAUAUUGGACUGUUGGAUGAUAUGGUCAAGUGUGUCAUGGUGGAGGAUUGUCGGAUGUGAUGUGAGGCUGAGCGCGAGUCGGUUUGUAGGAGGUGGAGGAUAUGGUCAAGUGUGUCAUGGUGGAGGACUGUCUGGAUGUGAGGCUGAGCGCGAGUCGGUUUGUAGGAGGUGGAGGAUAUGGUCAAGUGUGUCAUGGUGGAGGACUGUCUGGAUGUGAGGCUGAGCGCGAGUCGGUUUGUAGGAGGUGGAGGAUAUGGUCAAGUGUGUCAUGGUGGAGGACUGUCUGGAUGUGAGGCUGAGCGCGAGUCGGUUUGUAGGAGGUGGAGGAUAUGGUGGUGUGUUUUGCUAGAUGACUCGCUGGAUGCACGUAGUUGAGGUGUGACUGGGAUGGAGGAGCAUGUGGAAUCAAUGCCUCACUCUCUUACAUCUCUCCUUGGAAGCCUGUGGGCAACUGCUGCAUGCAACAAUAUUUAGACAGGGAUGGUGUUUCAGCCCAGGCCUUGUACAGCACACACACAAGCACUUCUCUCUGAGUCCUCUGGCAGAAAUGCAGGGGUCAUCUGAAAGCAGAAACUACAUGCAUUCUCUACAGCACUUAUUGAAAAGUUGACUAGCCAAGCUAAAGAUUCACCAAAGAGAGGACUCUGACAUGGACUGGAUGUAUGGUAGCUCUCCAGUGCAGCUGAUGUGCUCUCUCUCAUAGACUGUCAUGUUCAGUUCAUUGGCGAUGUCACAACUUGUGUAAAGAUGUUGUUUUAAAUGCUAGGUCCCUAGCAUUUGUUGAACUUGUUGAACUGUUUCUAAGUGAAAACAAACACACUCAGCUGGUCCCAUUCACCAAACGUAAUUAUCUUGUCAUUGGCAUAUAAACAUACAACGUUCACCAGCUCUCACCGGGGUUCAAUUUCUCUUUAAUUAGAGUUGUAUUGGCUUUAAAUAGUUUUUGGUAUUAGAUCGAUAUCCAUCUAUUUAGAUACCACUGCUGACAACCUCUUUUUAAUCUAUAUGGAAUAGGAGCAUUGUGUGUGUGUGUGUGUGUGUGUGUGUGUGUGUGUGUGUGUGUGUGUGUGUGUGUGUGUGUGUGUGUGUG
rnacentral:lncRNA from 1 species